UAAGGCAGCCAUAUCACCCUGUAGCCCAAGACUGGUUGCCCACUGAAGUUAAGCAGGGCUGAGCCUGGUCAGUACCUGGAUGGGAGACCUCCAGAGAAAACUAGGUUGCUGCUGGAA
ensembl:rRNA 5S_rRNA 5S ribosomal RNA